GAGUUUGUAUCCUGGCUCAGAUUGAACGCUGGCGGCAGGCCUAACACAUGCAAGUCGAGCGGUAGAGAGAAGCUUGCUUCUCUUGAGAGGCGGCGGACGGGUGAGUAAUGCCUAGGAAUCUGCCUGGUAGUGGGGGAUAACGCUCGGAAACGGACGCUAAUACCGCAUACGUCCUACGGGAGAAAGCAGGGGACCUUCGGGGCCUUGCGCUAUCAGAUGAGCCUAGGUCGGAUUAGCUAGUUGGUGAGGUAAUGGCUCACCAAGGCGACGAUCCGUAACUGGUCUGAGAGGAUGGAUCAGUCACACUGGAACUGAGACACGGUCCAGACUCCGUACGGGAGGCAGCAGU
rnacentral:rRNA from 1 species